rnacentral:pre_miRNA from 1 species
CAAAGAAUUCUCCUUUUGGGCUUUCUGAGUUUAUUUUAAGCCCAAAGGUGAAUUUUUUG